rnacentral:antisense_RNA from 1 species
CUUCAACGAGCCUAGCCAGAGCGGCCGUUCGGGGGUGUGCUCACGUCCGUAGGUGUUGAUCAGCGCCUGCGCCUC